ACGCUCGACACCUACGGGAGCAGCAGUGGGGAAUAUUGCACAAUGGGGGAAACCCUGAUGCAGCGACGCCGCGUGAGUGAAGAAGUAUUUCGGUAUGUAAAGCUCUAUCAGCAGGGAAGAGAAUGACGGUACCUGACUAAGAAGCCCCGGCUAACUACGUGCCAGCAGCCGCGGUAAUCUGAGCGGGCUGGCAAGGC
rnacentral:rRNA from 1 species